rnacentral:tRNA from 1 species
GUCAGGAUGGCCUAGCGGUCUAAGGUGCCAUGUUCAGGUCCUGGAGGUGUGGGUUUGAAUCCCACUCCUGACA